AUUGAACGCUGGCGGCAUGCCUUACACACGCAAGUCGAACGGUAACAGGUCUUCGGAUACUGACGAGUGGCGAACGGGUGAGUAAUACAUCGGAACGUGCCUAGUAGUGGGGGAUAACUACUCGAAAGAGUGGCUAAUACCGCAUGAGAUCUACGGAUGAGAGCAGGGGAUCGCAAGACCUUGUGCUACUAGAGCGGCCGAUGGCAGAUUAGGUAGUUGGUGGGAUAAAAGCUUACCAAGCCGACGAUCUGUAGCUGGUCUGAGAGGACGAUCAGCCACACUGGGACUGAGAAACGGCCCAGACUCCUACGGGAGGCAGCAGUGGGGAAUUUUGGACAAUGGGCGCAAGCCUGAUCCAGCAAUGCCGCGUGCAGGAUGAAGGCCUUCGGGUUGUAAACUGCUUUUGUACGGAACGAAAAGCCCCGGGUUAAUACCCUGGGGUCAUGACGGUACCGUAAGAAUAAGCACCGGCUAACUACGUGCCAGCCGCCGCCGUAA
rnacentral:rRNA from 1 species